CGGUUCCUAUGGUGAUCCUGAAGCACGCCGCCGCUGCCAAUAGCGGGAUCUUCCUGGCCCAACGACGAAGCUCACGCCGCCGCCAUCGCGGGAUCUUCCUGGGACGACGACGAAGCUGAUCUUCGUGGUACGACGCCGCCGCCGCUGCGCCAUCGCGAAUACUCCUCGCAGCUUCGUCAUUGUUGGGUCUGGUCGCACAGGUCAUCGACACCGCUAGAUUUCCUCUCGCCCGAUGACGCAGUGGCUAACUCGUCGUGCGGGCCAAGUCAGCCGUUCGAGCGAGGCCGGUAGCGAUGAGGGUGUGGGGCAUCAAGAGGAGCGUCCGCACCAUACCCGGGUUCAAGGUGGCCCUCGGCAUGGAAGCCUACAGGGUCGUGCAACGAUGGAUCAGCUGCUGAACAUGACACCACGACCCUCACCGAGUACAUCUGAUAUAUGUAAAGGAAGCGAGGAAAAUGAUUUUAUGUCUCUCCUAAGCACGACGUCAUGGUCGUCAUAUGCGUACUAAUCAAGGGGCUUCUGGGGUUGAAGCAAUUCAUCUCCAUGUAGCCGGAGCAACGCCGCAUGCAAAUGCGAGCCCAUACUUAAUCGGCAUCACACUCUUGGCCAAGGGAUUGGGGUAUGCAACCGGUUAAAUUCCAGUGACUUGACAUACCGACACAUGAUGUUUCAUCAACUUUGUAAUAUGUUGGUGAUGUUCAACCCUCAACUUUGUUGUCAGAUUCUGAUGAAUGGAGUGGUCGCUAGGAAUGUUCAUUGGAUAAUCUUGAUUCAACAAAGCACAACCUCAAGCCAUGCAGAGAUGAUUCAAGGCAUGCAUUGAUGUCCAAGUUUUCAUGCAUUUGAUAUAGAUCAGUUUUAGCAUGAUCCCUCUUACCUCAGGGAGAGGUACCCAGAGUCCCAGACACACGUGUCUAUACUAUAUUCACUACUCCUGCCUUGCCUUCAAAGGUGCAGAGAAUUUCACUUAUGAGAGAAGUUACAUGCUGACAUUUUGCUUCGGCAUGCUUCGAUCCUCGCACUGUCUUAGGUUUUUCGUGAUUCCUCCAUGGAUCCAUUCCUAACCCUCCUCCACUAUUUUGCCACUUCAACAGGAAGUUAUCCUAUAGGAUGUUCGUUACCAGAAGAGUGAAUGUUUGUAUUAUAUUAUAGGCCAUCCCAUCUAUGCAUGCCUAUUGUUUUGGUCUUUCUGAACUAUUGUCAAAUUAUGCUAUCCGAUUUCCUAUAUCACGUUGCAGCCUUGGGUUCGCCACAAAACCUUGCAACCAGAUAUUCUGAGUAACAUGAAGAGUCUGUUCUUCUACUGUUUCAUUCCUCCAAGUGUAUUAUUAGUUCAAUUUCUUUUUGGACAGCCAAUCACAAUCCACGUAAGUGAAAAAAAAUAUGUGUUUCAGUUAUUGUAAGUCUAAAGUGCGAGCUGCAUGUUGUCAUGAUAAUCAUAUAGUAUUAAUUAGAGUAGCUUCGUGGAUCAUGCGAUUGAUGUUACAUACAUAGCUCAUUAUACCUUUUUUAUUAUAAUUUAUGUCUGUUUCAGCAAGCAAAAUAAGCUCUAAUUGUCUAUCUUCGUAAUAAGAAAGAUAGAAAUAUCUGAGUCGGCAAAAUCUAAGAUCCACACAUUGCUGCCGCAUCGGAGCCUCAUGAUCCUUCCUCUAUCUCUACAUCUCUCGGAGCCCCUUGAUCCCUGCCGUUGUGGGCUAUGAUUGCUCAAGCCCUACGCCCAGGCAUCAACUCGACGAGUUGCACGUUUCGCCACUGCUAUCCUCCAGCAUCAAUUGUGCCAGAGAGUUUUUCUUAGUACGAUGCUCUAUUCCAUCCAGGCGUCUACAAUGACGUCUGUGGCAACAAGUCUGGCCAGUCUCUCUCCCCGAAACUCCUCUAACUCAACUACCGCCAACACACAUGUGUCUAGAUGUGAUGGAUUAUUGUUGUUUCUCGAAUCCAGUUGGUUUUUUAUUGGAAGCGCUAGAUGGUCAAUAUUCUUCUUCGUUUUGUUUCUUUAGUGAUCUUGAAAGAAGAAAGAGAUGAAGCUACCACUUAAUGUGCCCAACUUCAAUCGUGCAUCUCGGUGUCUCCUCUCCUCUCACACAUGUUAGUUUAGUAUGGAUGUCGGAUGUACUAUUUUUAUUGCUCUCCUCUGAUUAUUUUGUAGAAUCACAACAUAUGGCAUAUUUGGGUUCAUUUUCAGGUGAUUUUUU